UUAAUUCCGACUUGGAGCGGAUGCGUGCGCGCGACACUCAAGCAACGCUAGUGAUGAUCAAUAUAUUCGCACCAACAAGGCGGCGGUGAUAGUGAGCUAUACAAACAGUGUUUGCGAAGUUAUUAACAGAUUGGCCAACACAUUGGCUGCCGGUCGCGUAGCAUUCGAAUCGUUCAGUAUUUGAUGGACCGUCACACGAAACAGUUACGAUUGCGGUAAUUCAAAAACUUAAACGUAAAAUGUUUUAAGCGUGUGAGAAAAGCAGAAAAAAAACCAAAAAAAAAAAAA